rnacentral:rRNA from 1 species
GACGAACGCUGGCGGCGUGCCUAACACAUGCAAGUCGAGCGAGAGACUUCGGUCUCUAGCGGCGGACGGGUGAGUAACACGUGGGUAACCUGCCUCAUAGAGGGGGAUAGCCUUCCGAUAGGAAGAUUAAUACCGCAUAACAUAAGAUUGUCGCAUGGCAGUUUGAUCAAAGGAGUAAUCCGCUAUGAGAUGGACCCGCGGCGCAAUAGCUAGUUGGUGAGGUAACGGCUCACCAAGGCCACGAUGCGUAGCCGACCUGAGAGGGUGAUCGGCCACAUUGAAACGAAGAUACGGUACAGACUCCUACGGAGGGCAGCAGUGGGGAAUAUUGCACAAUGGGCGAAAGCCUGAUGCAGCAGCGCCGCGGGAGUGAUGAAGGACUUCGGGUUGUAAAGCUCUGUCUUUGGGGACGAUAAUGACGGUACCCAAGGAGGAAGCCACGGCUAACUACGUGCCAGCCGCCGCCGUAAAAC